GGGAGAGGGAGGAGAUUUCCAAGAGGAAAGGCCAGCUGGCAGCACAUGUGGUGAAUUUUAUAGUCAGGCUCCAGUAGGCGGUGUCUGAUUUAUGUAGAGCUCACAGAUUGGUUCCAUCAGGUUUGGGACCUCUGCGUACCUCCUGUGGCUUUAUGGUACCUGGUAUUGUUUCCCCAGACCAUGAGUCUCCAGUGUUGGAGUGCCCACUUCAGAAGUCUGUGUGUUUUGCUUCAUCCUGAGGGCUCUCCCAGAGGGUGACUAUUUUGCUUGGAGUCAAUUGGACACAGGAUCCCAUCUUGGAUACCACAUUACCUUAAACACUGCCUCAGCCAGGUGAUCAAGGUCAACGUCUACUGUGAUAAGUCAUGGUUUUGGUGUGUACCCUUGAUGUGAUGUGAUAAAAAUGGCACUUUACCUCUGUGGUCUUCCUCUGAAAAAUCCCGUAACAGCAGCCUAAUCAUGAGAAGCAUAUCAACAAAACUCAGACUCAGGGACAUUCUACAAAAUACCAGGCUGUCCCUCCCUGAAAUUGUCAAGUUCACCAAAAACAAGGUGAAUCUAAGAAACCUGUUACAGCCAAGAGGAGCCUAAGAAGACAUGAGGACUAAAUAUAACAUGGAAUUCGGGAUAGGAUUGUGCUACAGAAAAUGUAUGUGCUAAUGUGAGAUGUUAACAGUUGGAGAAACUCAGUUUUGGGUAUAAGGAAUUCUCUGUACUAUGUUUAUCUAAAAACAAUUCCAUGGUGAGCAAACUUAAGCAUAGAAAUGUUAAAUAAAUUGUCCAAAAUAGAGAAGUAAAUAGCAGUGCCAGGUUUCAAGCAUAAGAAUCAUCAACUCUGAACUUUAAACACAGCUCUGUAUGGUACUUUUGUUUAUAUCAAUGCCUAGAUAGAUAAAUAGGUAGAUAGAUAAUUUCCAAGUGCUAGAAACAAAAAAGGAACUAAAACUGAUAAAGAAUAUAAAUGAGGCCAGGCAGGGUGGCUCACACCUGUAAUCCCAGCAUUUUGGGAGGCCGAGGCAGGCAGAUCACUGAAGGUUCGGAGUUCAAGACCAGCCUGGCCAACUGGGGAAACCCUGUCUCUACUAAAAAAAAAAAAAAAUAGCCAGGCAUGGUGGCAUGUGCCUGUGAAGCAAGAGAUGUGAGAGGAAAAACAAAUUUUUCCUCUUUCUUUUGGUAUGGGCAGCUUCCCCCUUGAAUCCCUCCUCACUCCUUGUGAUUUUACCCUGCUCUGUAAGUUUUAUGAGUUUAUAGAUUCCUGUUUUCUGUAACUAGUGUCUGUAAGUCUCUGUAGCACCGUGGAGGUAAUGAGACAUGCUUGAGCAAGCUUAGAUUGCAGCCAUCUGGGCGCCAUAGCGAAGGACACGAGAUAAGGCUGUGCAGGCAUCUUGAGCAAACCUAGAUAACAGCCACCUGGCCUGCACAGCAAGAAUCAUGUGUAAGCUUGAGUUAGGAACCUGUCACAGUUUGAUUAACUGCCUUUGUUCUGCUUCUGUAAGCUUGCUUUCCACACCCCACAAGCUUUGCGCCACUGGCAAGCCACCCUCCUUCAGUUGCAUGAAUAAAAGUCAAGCCCUGUCUUCUUUUGUUGCUCAGCCUCUGGAUAUUAAUCCACUAAGCCAGUGGCAACCUAAAUAAAAUCCUCCUGUUCCACCCA
ensembl:lncRNA LINC01886 long intergenic non-protein coding RNA 1886